rnacentral:rRNA from 1 species
GUAGUCUCGCACAGAUGCAUAUCAAUAAGCGGAGGAAAAGAAACUAACAAGGAUUCCCCUAGUAACGGCGAGUGAAGCGGGAAGAGCUCAAAUUUGAAAUCUUAAAGGGUUUCCCUUUACGAAUUGUAGUUUAAAGAAGUGUUUUCUGUUGAGGUUUUGGUAAAAGUUCUUUGGAAUAGGACAUCAUAGAGGGUGAGAAUCCCGUAUUUGACCUUUACUUUCAACUUUGUGAUACACUUUCCAAAGAGUCGGAUUGUUUGGGAAUGCAGUCCAAAAUGGGUGGUAAAUUUCAUCUAAAGCUAAAUAUUGGCGAGAGACCGAUAGCGAACAAGUACCGUGAGGGAAAGAUGAAAAGAACUUUGAAAAGAGAGUUAAACAGUACGUGAAAUUGUCAAAAGGGAAGCGUUUGACACCAGUGUUGUUUUUCUGAAAAUCAAUUAAAGAACUGUUUAUGCUAAGCUUGUUUAGACUUUAUCAGCUAUACUGUUUAGUUUUGAGCUUUUCUUUAAUGCACUUUUCAGUUAACAAGUCAACAUCAAUUUCUUUUGCUGUAAAAAAGCUUGAGGAAGGUGGCUUGAGAUUCGUCUUAAGUGUUUAUAGCCUCUUGCCUAUGCAGUCGGAGAGAUUGAGGUCUGCAGCGUAGAUCCUUCGGGGCUAAAUGCAUUUGUGCUAAGUUAUAGCAUUUUAUAGACAACUUGUUGACUAUGAUUUGUCUUGUAGCUUACUCGCUUAUGUUAUUUUACCUACGCUUAGGAUGUUGACAGCAGUAUAGACUGU